AUUGGACGCUGGCGGCAGGCCUAACACAUGCAAGUCGAGCGGUAGCACAGGAGAGCUUGCUCUCUGGGUGACGAGCGGCGGACGGGUGAGUAAUGUCUGGGAAACUGCCUGAUGGAGGGGGAUAACUACUGGAAACGGUAGCUAAUACCGCAUAACGUCUUCGGACCAAAGUGGGGGACCUUCGGGCCUCACGCCAUCAGAUGUGCCCAGAUGGGAUUAGCUAGUAGGUGGGGUAAUGGCUCACCUAGGCGACGAUCCCUAGCUGGUCUGAGAGGAUGACCAGCCACACUGGAACUGAGACACGGUCCAGACUCCUACGGGAGGCAGCAGUGGGGAAUAUUGCACAAUGGGCGCAAGCCUGAUGCAGCCAUGCCGCGUGUGUGAAGAAGGCCUUCGGGUUGUAAAGCACUUUCAGCGAGGAGGAAGGGUGGUGUGUUAAUAGCGCAUCACAUUGACGUUACUCGCAGAAGAAGCACCGGCUAACUCCGUGCCAGCAGCCGCGGUAAUACGGAGGGUGCAAGCGUUAAUCGGAAUUACUGGGCGUAAAGCGCACGCAGGCGGUUUGUUAAGUCAGAUGUGAAAUCCCCGCGCUUAACGUGGGAACUGCAUUUGAAACUGGCAAGCUAGAGUCUUGUAGAGGGGGGUAGAAUUC
rnacentral:rRNA from 1 species